AUGAGGAGGAAGUUAAUAGCCCAAGGGGAUGGUUGAGAGCCUGGGUUACAGCACUGGGGAGGCAGUGGGAGCCUGGGGGGCUACCCAAGGGGGAUCUGAGGGGCUUGCAGUCAAGGAGAGGAAAAUGCAGCAGUUUACUCCCACCUGGAGGUUGGGCCAGGCAUCCUGCCUCCUCUACGUCUGACUGCAAGCCCAGGAACGGUCUUCAUGUGUCUUGUACAGAGCUGAGCGCCCUGUUCUGUGCAUGAGGCAGUGCUGAUGGAGGCAGUUGGUGGAUUUGGCAUCAAAUAUCCUGAUUUCUGUUGUUGUUUUGCCACUUACUAAGAAGCAGCUGGCAACAACGGUGAGAAUUGAAAACAUCAAUCCUGUGUUCUUCAGCCUUCCUCGGUGCCCACAUUUCACGUCGGUACAACAGAGUUGGGAUAACUGGGGUUCUAUGGAUCUGCAGCUUCGUAGCAAGCUUGAAAUCACAACAUCCCCACAGAGGCUGCUAAAGGAGCCGUAACACGUCAGUAGCUGUUGAUAGACAAGUCUCCUCGUUUUUUAGAGCACCCUCCAGCACCGUCUAUUACGAUGCCUCACCCAGACAGUUUAAUACCAAGCAGAUUGUAAUCUGGAACUGGAGGCUGCUUGAUGGUCAUGGCCAGGAACUUGGUUUUAUCUGGAUUAAUAACCAGACCUACGUGUGCUGCUUCGUGCCUCACCAGACUGGCCAGCAGACGCAGUGGUUCACUAGACUGAGCCAGCCAAUGUCAUUGGCAUAUUAGAGAUCUCAAAGCAGAAUGGCAUUCCGCUUUACCCCUCCAACUCCUGCCUCUUCAAGUUUAUCCAUCAUCCAGUCAGUGCUGAUAUUGAAUGAUGAUGGUGACAGAGCACAACCUUGCCCAACUCCUAUGGAGAAAGGAAACCAUGCUGUGUUUUUGCCAUUGACGCGAAUGCAUCUUUCCAUUCCAUUAUAGAGCUCUCCUAUCAAUGAUGCUGUUGUCCCAGGGAUGCCAAGUCACCUCAUUGGAUCCCACAAACUUGCUUGAUUUACUGAAUCAAGGGCAUUAUAGAAGUCUAGAGACAAUGCUGUGCGUGGCUUAUUAAAUCCAGCCAUCUUCUCAAAAAGCUGUCUCAAGGUAAAGAGCUGGUUAACAGUGGACUGACCAGAUCUAAAGCUGCACGGAGUAUCUUGGGCUUUGCCACAAAGUGCAUUGAUGAGCUGAGACCUUAACAUGGAAGCAAAGACUUUCCGUGGAACAGACAACAGCAUCAUACUGCUACAGUUGCUACAUUCACCUUAUCACCCUUUCUGAACAGAGUAAUCCCCUUCUUCCAGUCAUUGGGGAUGAUAAUAUGCCAAAUGGCCUAGAAAAGCUUAUGGUACAGCAAUGCUCUCACCCGUCUUCAGCAACUCAAAAGUGAUGUAACAAACCCCUGAUGCCUUCUCAGCACAUGGACUGUGAUACGGGAUCUCUUCUUGCUUGAAGGAAGCAGGCUGUAGUGGAAAUUCCUGACCCUCUUCAGAUGGAAGAGGGACUUCAAGGGAUGGACAAUUGAGGAGCAUCUUGAAAUGACUCUCUCACUAAUACAGCUGAUUCUGACUGAUGCUGCCGUCCUGACUCUUUACUGAAGAAGCUGGUGCCACCUACCCUGCAAACACUGCAAAGUUGAAUAAAGGGUGCAGAAAUCAGGGCUGGACUGUACCUAUAUAUAAGAUCUUACCAUCUAAAUAGACAAGAUAGGGACGAGGAAGUAGUAUGAUCUCCAUUUGACAUAGGGGCAGGUGAGGCACCAAGAAUUUAAAUUAUUUUCCUGAGGUCAUGCAGGAAGACCUCCUUGAAUCCCAGUCCAGAUCCUUAACCACAGGACUAUCCUUCUCUUUCACUUCAUUUCUGCUUUUUCUAAUUUUGAAAGGGAUAUUGAUAAGGUAGAGAAAGACAGCAAUGACGCUAUAAAGGUUGGAGAACAGGAGCAGAAAGAUGAGUAGCAGCAAAUUGCAGAAAACAUUUGAAAUAAUUAGUUUUUCAAAGGUACACACAAUAAACCAUUAAAAACCCAUCAACAGCAAGAGAACAGAAACCACUAAGCCUCUUCAAGUGAAAUCAGAGCAUUUAGAUCAAAAGAUAAAGAAAUAGAGCUGUGACAGGGUUAGUGUGGGCUAACUGCUAUAGUUUGUAUGUGGUCCUUUUUUCAACAAACUAUCCAUUGGUGAUGUUGGGAACUGUGUGUGAAAUACGUAUGGUGGAAUGUGUGCACAGAAUUAC